GGGCCCGCACAAGCGGAGGAGCAUGUGGUUUAAUUCGAUGAUACGCGAGGAACCUUACCUGGGCUUAAAUGUUAGAUGCCAUUCUGCGAAAGCGGAAGUUUCUUCGGAACAUCUAGCAAGGUGCUGCAUGGCUGUCGUCAGCUCGUGCCGUGAGGUGUUGGGUUAAGUCCCGCAACGAGCGCAACCUCUAUCAUUAGUUGCCAUCAGGUUAAGCUGGGGACUCUAAUGAAACUGCCUACGCAAGUAGAGAGGAAGGCGGGGACGACGUCAAGUCAUCAUGGCCCUUACGCCCAGGGCUACACACGUGCUACAAUGGUAGGUACAAUGAGAAGCUACUUGGUAACAAGACGCAAACCUCAAAAAGCCUAUCUCAGUUCGGAUUGAGGUCUGCAACUCGACCUCAUGAAGUUGGAUUCGCUAGUAAUCGU
rnacentral:rRNA from 1 species